CUCUAGAAACCCAAGCAAGAAGAAAAGGUUUGGUUUCCUUUGGUUUGCGGUCGGUGGCCUUUGUGUGGAUUUUCCACUGUGAUAGGCAGAUGAAGUUUGAAUAAGGCUGAAAUAUGUUAAUUUUGCUGACCUGCACUAACAGAAAUAACCCCUAUUUUUUGGAUAAGGAAGAUCAGCUGAGCAGCUCUAGGGAAUCGUCAACAUAUACACUGUAUGGAACUUGAAAAUCCAUUUGGGUUUCUCUAACUACACAUGCCCGCAAUCAAUUUUCUGUACAAUCCAAUUGCUUCUUGAUGAAUUCAAAUGCUUGAGAGGAAGAAUAAAGAUUGGGCGGUACGCGGUGGCACUUUAAAAAAGACAGCCGAGUGGUCGGCGAUAAUGGGCUGCAAGUGGGCCCUACUCCGGGUCGAUGGUCCAUUUUAUACAGAGUCCAGACGCUCCUCUUCCCUGCUCCCAACGGAAAGCGUAUAAUACAGCACAAGAAAAAUAUAUGCACGGGCCCACUCUCAGGGCGUGCUACCAUCCAAUUAUUCUGGUCAAUAUGAAAAUAUAGAGUAAUGUUAUUUAUAAUUUUAA